AUUGAACGCUGGCGGCAUGCUUUACACAUGCAAGUCGAACGGUAACAGAUCUUCGGAUGCUGACGAGUGGCGAACGGGUGAGUAAUACAUCGGAACGUGCCUAGUAGUGGGGGAUAACUACUCGAAAGAGUGGCUAAUACCGCAUGAGAUCUACGGAUGAAAGCAGGGGAUCGCAAGACCUUGUGCUACUAGAGCGGCCGAUGGCAGAUUAGGGAGUUGGUGGGAUAAAAGCUUACCAAGCCGACGAUCUGUAGCUGGGCUGAGAGGACGAUCAGCCACACUGGGACUGAGACACGGCCCAGACUCCUACGGGAGGCAGCAGUGGGGAAUUUUGGACAAUGGGCGCAAGCCUGAUCCAGCAAUGCUGCGUGCAGGAUGAAGGCCUUCGGGUUGUAAACUGCUUUUGUACGGAACGAAAAGCCCUGGGUUAAUACCCUGGGGUCAUGACGGUACCGUAAGGAUAAGCACCGGCUAACUACGUGCCAGCCGCCGCAGUAACAC
rnacentral:rRNA from 1 species